ensembl:snRNA U6 U6 spliceosomal RNA
GUGCUCGCUUCGGCAGCACAUACACUAAAAUUGGAACAAUACAGAGAAGAUUAGCAUGGUCCCUGCACAAGGAUGACAUGCAAAUUCAUGAAGUGUCCAUAUUUUAA